rnacentral:rRNA from 1 species
CCUACGGGAGGCAGCAGUAGGGAAUCUUUCACAAUGGGCGAAAGCCUGAUGGAGCAACGCCGCGUGCAGGAUGAAGGCCUUCGGGUUGUAAACUGCUUUUAUAAGCGAGAAAUAUGAUGGUAACUUAUGAAUAAGGAUCGGCUAACUACGUGCCAGCAGCCGCGGUCAUACGUAGGAUCCGAGCAUUAUCCGGAGUGACUGGGUGUAAAGAGUUGCGUAGGUGGAAUAAUAAGUAGCUAGUGAAAUCUGGUGGCUCAACCAUUCAGACUAUUAGCUAAACUGUUAAGCUCGAGACCGUUAGGGGUAACUGGAAUUUCUAGUGUAGGAGUGAAAUCCGUAGAUAUUAGAAGGAACACCAAUAGCGUAGGCAGGUUGCUGGGACGGUUCUGACACUAAGGCACGAAAGCGUAGGGAGCAAACGGGAUUAGAUACCCCAGUAGUC